CUUAAAUCCUAGCAGCGACUUGCAGUCCACCGUGGCAAUAGACAACGGCGGGGCCGCCGUCAAGGCCAGCGCCACCGUCCACCAUCUCGCUGCUGUCGCCGCGAAGCAAGAUCUCAUCUUCCAUCCGGAUUGUUAUAGAAAUCAACACCAGUUGGAUCUGCCGAAUGGAUCUGAGUAUGGCCCGACACAAGGAUGGAGAUUGGAUGUUGGUUGAUGAUGUUCCAUUGGAAUAAAGGUAAAGGAAAGAUGGACUAGCAGUGGAAGCUGGAGGGC